UGCGUAGGGGGCUAGCGUUGUCCGGAUUUAUUGGGCGUAAAGAGCGUGUAGGCGGCCAGGUAGGUCUGCUGUGAAAACUCGAGGCUCAACCUCGAGACGUCGGCGGAAACCAUCUGGCUAGAGUCCGGAAGAGGAGAGUGGAAUUCCUGGUGUAGCGGUGAAAUGCGCAGAUAUCAGGAAGAACACCCGUGGCGGAGGCGGCUCUCUGGGACGGUACUGACACUGAGACGCGAAAGCGUGGGGAGCGAACAGG
rnacentral:rRNA from 1 species